rnacentral:lncRNA from 1 species
UCAACCCCCGUACCCAACUUGUUGCAUUCCUCUAGGGUCAUACUUUCAUUUUUAUCACCCACAUACUCUUUUAACCACAUUUUUUCACAUUUCUCAAACCAUACUUUCUCGCUACAUUUUUCCUAUCACGCGCUCAUUUUCACCUCACAAAUGGAAUUCCACUUUACCUUAUAUUCUAUUUUCACACAAACACUUGGAUUUUUCAUACAAUUUCACACAUGCACCUUUUCAUACACUUGCACACAAACACUUGGAUUUUUUAUACAAUUUCACACGUUCACCUUUUUAUACACUUGCACACUUGCACUUUAGCCAUCAUUUGCAUUAAUCGACCUCUAUAAGGUUUUCCUUUAUUGGCCGCCACAAUUCAUGUGGUUGGGACCAAAAACCUUACAAGAGACAUUUUAGAAUUUAGGUUUGCAUUUUUUCCUUCUUUUUGCAUUCAUGUAGUGCAUCCAAAUGUAAUAAAUUCUUUGGUUAAAACAAGAAAAUCUUUGAUUAAAUCAUGCAACUAGCCUUGGCUAGGUCAAAGGGGUGCCUUGGAUUUUAUCCUUGCCUUCCCCUUUGUCAAAUGUGACUCCCGAACCUUUUUCAUUGGUUUACGUAGAUUAGGAGUCGUUUAAAAAGGGUUUCUCACUACUUUUUCCUAUUUUUCUUUAAAAAUACAUUUUUUUAGGUGACUUGGUACACCUUAACUCAUUACCAAGUGGCGACUCCGUAUUUAGUUUUAAAAACCCUUUUUAAACUAUAAUUUUGGGUCAAAUCGUCGCAUUCUCAAAACCCCAUUUAGACCCAUUUUUCU